rnacentral:rRNA from 1 species
UGGGGAAUAUUGCGCAAUGGGCGAAAGCCUGACGCAGCGACGCCGCGUGAGGGACGACGGCCUUCGGGUUGUAAACCUCUUUCAGCGCCGAAGAAGCGAAAGUGACGGUAGGCGCAGAAGAAGCACCGGCUAACUACGUGCCAGCAGCCGCGGUAAUACGUAGGGUGCAAGCGUUGUCCGGAUUUAUUGGGCGUAAAGAGCUCGUAGGCGGUCUGUCGCGUCGGAUGUGAAAACCCGGGGCUUAACUCCGGGCCUGCAUUCGAUACGGGCAGACUAGAGUGUGGUAGGGGAGACUGGAACUCCUGGUGUAGCGGUGAAAUGCGCAGAUAUCAGGAAGAACACCGGUGGCGAAGGCGGGUCUCUGGGCCACUACUGACGCUGAGGAGCGAAAGCGUGGGGAGCAAACAGG